rnacentral:rRNA from 1 species
CGCGUAGGCGGUUUGAUAAGUCAGAUGUGAAAGCCCAUGGCUUAACUGUGGAAGUGCAUUUGAAACUGUCAGACUUGAGUACCAGAGGGGAAAGUGGAAUUCCCGGUGUAGAGGUGAAAUUCGUAGAUAUCGGGAGGAAUACCGGUGGCGAAGGCGACUUUCUGGCUGGAUACUGCGCUGAGGCGCGAAAGCGUGGGGAGCAAACA